rnacentral:rRNA from 1 species
UACGUAGGGGGCAAGCGUUGUCCGGAUUUAUUGGGCGUAAAGAGCGUGUAGGCGGUUAGGUAGGUCCGUUGUGAAAACUCGAGGCUCAACCUCGAGAUGUCGGCGGAAACCGUCUGGCUAGAGUCCGGAAGAGGAGAGUGGAAUUCCUGGUGUAGCGGUGAAAUGCGCAGAUAUCAGGAAGAACACCCGUGGCGAAGGCGGCUCUCUGGGACGGUACUGACGCUGAGACGCGAAAGCGUGGGGAGCGAACAGG